UACGUAGGGCGCAAGCGUUGUCCGGAAUUAUUGGGCGUAAAGAGCUCGUAGGCGGUCUGUCACGUCUGCUGUGAAAACCCGGGGCUUAACCCCGGGCUUGCAGUGGAUACGGGCAGACUAGAGGCAGGUAGGGGAGAAUGGAAUUCCCGGUGUAGCGGUGAAAUGCGCAGAUAUCAGGAGGAACACCGGUGGCGAAGGCGGAUCUCUGGGCCUUACCUGACGCUCAGGUGCGAAAGCUAGGGGAGCAAACGGG
rnacentral:rRNA from 1 species